AUUGAACGCUGGCGGCAGGCCUAACACAUGCAAGUCGAGCGAGCGGCGGACGGGUGUGUAAAGUAUGGGGACUGUCCCUGAGAGGGGGAUAUCUCUAGGAGACGGUAGCUCUUACCGCACACUCUCGCAUUGCCCCUAUGGGAUGUGCUAGUAGGGGAGGUAAUGGCUCACCUAGGCGACGAUCCCCAGCUGGUCUGAGAGGAUGAUCAGCCACACUGGGACUGAGACACGGCCCAGACUCCUACGGAGGCAGCAGUGGGGAAUAUUGCACAAUGGGCGCAAGCCUGAUGCAGCCAUGCCGCGUGUAUGAAGAAGGCCCUAGGGUUGUAAAGUACUUUCAGUCGGGAGGCGUUACCGACAGAAGAAGCACCGGCUAACUCCGUGCCAGCAGCCGCGGUAAUUC
rnacentral:rRNA from 1 species